AAAAAGAUUUUAAACAAGUUAAAUGGAUCAAGUAAUUACCUGAUCCAAUUAUUAAAUGGAUCAAACGAAUUAAACGGGUCAAAAGUCUAAACCUAAAUUUAACUCAUUUAAUAAACAGAUCUAGACAAGUUGAUUCGUGUAUGACCGAAACUCAUUUAUGUCAAACCCAAAUCUACUUAAAGCACAUCGUUUGCAUGUCGGGUUGAUAGGUUGGAUCAUAAAUUACCACGCUUAUAGUUAGAAGUUGCAGGUUGCAUAUACCUCUAACAACUCAGAACCUCACCCAAAAUGACUAGCCAUAAGGUUUUAUUUGAGUUCCUUGAUCCUAUAUAAGUACCAAAGAUCUAUCCAAUGAAUAAUCGAUGUGGGACUAAAUACACGCCCGCACGGAUCCUCACAUACUCUUCCCGUUCAAGCCUUGACGUCCUCAUCAGGCUAAGGGUUUAAAUCUAUUCAAAUCUAAUUACAAACACCACGAUCGACCCAUGGUCAGCCCUAAUGGAUCCGUGCUGCAGUGUCCCUUAGUCCAUAUAGGUUAUGGGUCGGGUCCGCUCUAAUACCAUUUAUAACAACUCAGGACCUCAUUCAAAAUGGCUAGCCGAAAGGUAUUAUUUGGGUUCCUUAAUUUUGUAUAAGUAUCCAAAAUCUACCCAGUAAAUAACCGAUGUAGAACUAAAUACACGCCCA
rnacentral:lncRNA from 1 species